rnacentral:tRNA from 1 species
GGGCGGGUAGCUCAGCGGUAGAGCAGCUGUCUUACACACAGCGGGUCGCAGGUUCGAAACCUGUCCCGCCCACCA